AACAUUUGUGUAAAGGCACUCACAAAUAUCUCGCUAUAUUUCCCAAUUCAGCUGUUAAAUGGAACAGAAAGGCUGGCGGCACUAUAUCGGACGAACUGGUCAUUAAUUAUGGAUGAAACAAGGUGCUGGACCUCAAUAAAAAAUGGAACCGAUGAUGUUGGAUUUCGACAUUCGUUGAGAUAUCAGCUGUUAACCAACGAAAUUAGACUUACAUCAAAUUGGAUCAGAAGGCGUUUAACUGGCUUCUACUACGUAGGGCGACAGCAGGGUAAUGCGACGGUUGUCCUGAAAGCUUUCGAUGAACAAUGGCGUAUGCACCCAGCAAGCGGGAACUUUUCGAUCCUUUACGCCGAUAACAAAUGUUUUGCCCUGAAGAAGAAGGAAGGACCACC
rnacentral:lncRNA from 1 species